AGCGAACGCUGGCGGCAGGCCUAACACAUGCAAGUCGAACGGGCUCUUCGGAGCUAGUGGCGGACGGGUGAGUAACACGUGGGAACGUGCCUUUAGGUUCGGAAUAAGCCCGGGAAACUGGGUCUAAUACCGAACGUGCCCUUCGGGGGAAAGAUUUAUCGCCUUUAGAGCGGCCCGCGUCUGAUUAGCUAGUUGGUGAGGUAAUGGCUCACCAAGGCGACGAUCAGUAGCUGGUCUGAGAGGAUGACCAGCCACAUUGGGACUGAGACACGGCCCAAACUCCUACGGGAGGCAGCAGUGGGGAAUCUUGCGCAAUGGGCGAAAGCCUGACGCAGCCAUGCCGCGUGGAUGAUGAAGGCCUUAGGAUUGUAAAAUCCUUUCACCGGUGAAGAUAAUGACUGUAGCCGGAGAAGAAGCCCCGGCUAACUUCGUGCCAGCCGCCGCGGUAA
rnacentral:rRNA from 1 species